rnacentral:rRNA from 1 species
UACGAAGGGGGCUAGCGUUGCUCGGAAUUACUGGGCGUAAAGCGCACGUAGGCGGAUUGUUAAGUCAGGGGUGAAAUCCUGGAGCUCAACUCCAGAACUGCCUUUGAUACUGGGGAUCUCGAGUCCGGGAGAGGUGAGUGGAACUGCGAGUGUAGAGGUGAAAUUCGUAGAUAUUCGCAAGAACACCAGUGGCGAAGGCGGCUCACUGGCCCGGUACUGACGCUGAGGUGCGAAAGCGUGGGGAGCAAACAGG